rnacentral:rRNA from 1 species
GUGCCAGCAGCCGCGGUAAUACGUAGGUGGCAAGCGUUGUCCGGAAUUAUUGGGCGUAAAGCGCGCGCAGGCGGUUCUUUAAGUCUGAUGUGAAAUCCCACGGCUCAACCGUGGAGGGUCAUUGGAAACUGGAGGACUUGAGUAUAAGAGAGGAAAGUGGAAUUCCACGUGUAGCGGUGAAAUGCGUAGAGAUGUGGAGGAACACCAGUGGCGAAGGCGGCUUUCUGGACGACAACUGACGCUGAGGCGCGAAAGCGUGGGGAGCAAACAGGAUUAGAUACCCUGGUAGUCCACGCCGUAAACGAUGAGUGCUAAGUGUCGGGGGAGCGAUCCCUCGGUGCUGAACUUAACAGAUUAAGCACUCCGCCUGGGGAGUACGGUCGCAAGGCUGAA